AAAAUAACUUUUCAUUUAUAAAUACACACACAGUCAUCUUCUUCCACUCACCCCUCACCCACCCCACCUCAAAUCCAAAAUCCACUCGACCAUCACCACCUUCACCCCCACAACCAUCUACUACUGCUCACCAUCAUCUACCCCAUCACAAUAGCCACCCAACAAGCUCCAUCACCCAAACCCAAAAAUGCAAAUCAUUUAGAUCUAUAUCAUCAAUCUCCCUCAUUUCCACCUUACUGUACACAAAAGAAACACACGCUCUUCAGAAAAGAUAUAUGCCUCCUACAUACACUGAUUCGGAUCUCAAAUGCAACUGAGCGUAAUCGAACUUGUUGGAUGCUCAACGGGAGAUGUAGGCAUUGAAAGCGAUCGUCGAACCUCCGGGGCUUAGUGGUAUCAGAGCCACACUGAGGAGCACGAUACCUGGAUCUUGGAGAGUUUGGUGGAUCUUCAACAGAUUUGAAAUUUUUGGAACCGCUGAAAAGCAAAUUUGAAACAAUACGAGUUAUUGAACUUGCUUGGUGAGAUCUUUUCAAUUUACUGUAUAUUUCUUUUCAGAAAUUUGUGUUUCUUGAACUUUUCCUUGAUUUUUUAGUACACCAUUGAAAUCCCUUUGAGACUAAUCUUUGUUCAGUAGCUCCUACGAGACCCUUGGAAUAUGAGAUAAAUCAUGUACGGGCAUGUACUUUGGAGAAUUCUGUUGAAGGGAUUUUGUGAAACCUUGUAUUUGAUCUCUGU